rnacentral:tRNA from 1 species
GGGGCUAUAGCUCAGUUGGUAGAGCGCUUCCAUGGCAUGGAAGAGGUCAGGAGUUCAAUUCUCCUUAGCUCCACAA